rnacentral:rRNA from 1 species
CCUACGGGUGGCUUCAGUGGGGAAUAUUGCACAAUGGGGGCAACCCUGAUGCAGCGACGCCGCGUGAGUGAAGAAGUAAUUCGUUACGUAAAGCUCUAUCAGCAGGGAAGAAACACUGACCUUACGGUCAGCAGACGGUAUCUGAGUUAGAAACCCAGGCUAACUACGUGCCAGCAGCCGCGGGAAUACGUAGGGGGCAAGCGUUAGCCGGAUUUAUUGGGUGUAAAGGGAGCGUAGACGGUGCGCCAAGUCUGGUGUGAAAGUCCGCAGCUUAACUGCGGAAGUGCAGUGGAAACUGGCGAACUAGAGUGCGGGAGGGGUAAGCGGAAUGCCUGGUGUAGCGGUGAAAUGCGUAGAUAUUAGGAAGAACACCGGUGGCGAAGGCAGCUUACUGGACCGUAACUGACGUUGAGGCUCGAAAGCGUGGGGAGCAAACAGGAUUAGAUACCCUGGUAGUC